rnacentral:lncRNA from 1 species
CUGUGUGCUUUGGAGACUAAUCCCUUUUCAGUCGCAUCAUUUGCAAAUACUUUCUCCCAUCCUGCUGUUUCAUUCUGUUUAUGGUUUCCUUUGCUGUGCAGAAGCUUUUAAGUAUAAUUGGUCCCAUUUAUUUGUUUUUGUUUUAUUUUCAUUACUCUAGAAAGUGGAUCCAAAGAGAAUGAAAUAAUGCCAUUCGCAGCAACAUCAUGGACCUAGAGAUUAUCACCUUAAAUGAAGGAAGUCAAAUACAGAAAGACGAAUAUGGUAUCACUUAUAUGUGGAAUCUUUUAAAGUGAUCCAAACGAAUUUAUUUACAAAACAGCAACAGAUUGACAGACAUAGAAAACAAACUUAUGUUUAUCAAAGGGGAGAGCUGGGGGAAGGGAGGAUAAAUUAGAAAUUGUGGAUUAGCAGAUACACUCCGUUAGACACAACCUACCGUAAAGCACAGGGAACUCUACUCAAUAUUCUGAUCUAACCUACAUGGGAAAAAAAUCUGAGAAAGAAUGGAUAUAUGUAUGUGUAUAACUGAAUCACUUUGCUAUACAGCAGAAACUACAAAUAACUAUCACAGCUAUAAAUCAACUAUAUUCCAAUAUAAAACAAAAGUGUUUUAAAAAAGAAAAAUGCUACUUACGCCUGGCUGCUUUACUAAGAGCUAAUCCUGUACUGUUUGGAGACUUUCGCUCACACAUCUUAGGAUAAAGGGGGUUUGAUGACAGCUGUUUCUUUUAAACCUCAGCCUCCAGGGGUCCCAGGAGCAGGCCACCAGAGGAGAAAGCGGUGCUGACUCGAUCCCUGCAGGAGCCAGUGCGGGCACACUCCCCACUGCCCUCGGGGCCCAUCGCGCCUCCAGGGGCCACCGGACGGAAGGCAGCUCGUCUUUCCCAGUGCUGAGCGAGCGCCAGGCCCCGGGUCACCGCGCCGGUAUAAAGGGGAGGGGCAGACUCAGCCCGGGCGCUGGGGACACAGGAGGACGCCCGCCCGCAGGAGUAGCCUGAGCAGCCGGGAAGGACCGCAGAGGAAGCCCCGGCUGAUGCGGCCCUCCAGCUCUCCUGAAAGGAAGCCAGACAUUCUGGGAGCUCGCCUUCCUGCUGCAGGAACCCCAAGCUGAGGAGCUCGACGAGGGGCUCAGACCAACCUGCUCCUUGGGGGAACCUCUGCGACUGUGAACUCCAGCCCACUGGUGAGUUGCUGGCCUCAGGCUGCAGCCUCCAUACGCUGUGUCCCCCACGGCUGCCUGUCUGUUAUAGAAGUCUCUUAAACUAGCCUCAUUUUUUACUCUUUUUUUCCUUUUUCUGUUCAGCUCCAAUGAUUCCACCACUCCGUCUUCCAGAUCACAGA